rnacentral:rRNA from 1 species
UGGGGAAUUUUCCGCAAUGGGCGAAAGCCUGACGGAGCAACGCCGCGUGAGGGAGGAAGGUCUUUGGAUUGUAAACCUCUUUUCUCAAGGAAGAAGUUCUGACGGUACUUGAGGAAUCAGCCUCGGCUAACUCCGUGCCAGCAGCCGCGGUAAUACGGGGGAGGCAAGCGUUAUCCGGAAUUAUUGGGCGUAAAGCGUCCGCAGGUGGUCAGCCAAGUCUGCCGUCAAAUCAGGUUGCUUAACGACCUAAAGGCGGUGGAAACUGGCAGACUAGAGAGCAGUAGGUGUAGCAGGAAUUCCCAGUGUAGCGGUGAAAUGCGUAGAGAUUGGGAAUAACAUCGGUGGCGAAAGCGUGCUACUGGGCUGUAUCUGACACUCAGGGACGAAAGCUAGGGGAGCGAAAGGG